CCCCGUGCGUGCGCACGCGCGCUGUCCCCCGGAGGCGUCUGGGUGUGCGGAGCGCGCGCGCGCGGCUCGGAGGCGCACCUGUGAGGUGUCCCUGGAGGAGAGGGAGGGUGGGUGCGCGGAGUCCGCGGCCUGGGGCGCUUCAGCCCCUCACUUGGAAGCGCCCUGCGUCCCGGCAGAGCCCGCCGAGCAUCCCGCCAGGUGAUGAGGAGCCCUCCGCGCACCCAGCGCAGAACGCCGCUGCCGCUGGACGCCUCCAUUGUUUGACCACAAUAAGGGCCGGAUUCUCACCCAGACCUGCAAAUCCAAGAGAUACAUCUCUCUGGAAGAUAAGAGAGCUUCUUCCUCAAGAUCAAAAAAGGAGACUGGAGUGAGAUCCAUGUAGGGAAUCCCCAGGAGGAAGGAUUGGCACACCUGGAACCCGAGGAGCUUGCUUCCUGGGAAGGCUCCUGUCUGAUGUGUAGGAGACAGAAUGUCCUACUGACUCUUCAAAGGGAGGCUCCAGGGGAUCGAGACCAACACGCAGUAUCUCACUCUCCACCACUGGGGACACUGUACAGUCCUUUUUCUAGAAGUGGAAAGUACGAGAUUGUUCUACAAGAGGAAGAUUCCAGGGGCUUAAAAACACAGAGGUUUGCACCUUGGGAGCCCCUUGGAAUGUUGACAACUCAGGAUCUAAAGGAAAGUUCUGUGUUAAUGAGUUACAGAAUUCACGUGGAAGUAAAUGUCACUUUAUGAUCAAUAAUAAUACUGAGUGAGGAGCACUAUGCAGGAAGAAAUCUUCCAUAGAAAGACAGGCAGGGAGAAGCUUAGGCCAACCUUAGACCUACCUAAUAGAGCAAGCUUGAGAUAAACUGCCAGAAUGGCCAAAUAAGAGACUCUAUGAAAUAGCAAUCCUGUAACUAUAAUAGUCAUACAGAAAUUUUCUCCUCUAAAUCACGAUACCAAAUAGGAAAAAUGAUCUACAAGUGCCCCAUGUGUAGGGAAUUUUUCUCUGAGAGAGCAGAUCUUUUUAUGCAUCAGAAAAUUCACACUGCUGAGAAGCCCCAUAAAUGUGACAAGUGUGACAAGGGUUUCUUUCAUAUAUCAGAACUUCAUAUUCAUUGGAGAGACCACACAGGAGAGAAGGUCUAUAAAUGUGAUGAUUGUGGUAAGGAUUUUAGUACUACAACAAAACUUAACAGACAUAAGAAAAUCCACACAGUGGAGAAGCCCUAUAAAUGCUAUGAGUGUGGCAAAGCCUUCAAUUGGAGCUCACAUCUUCAAAUUCACAUGAGAGUUCAUACAGGUGAGAAACCCUAUGUCUGUAGUGAGUGUGGAAGGGGCUUUAGUAAUAGUUCAAACCUUUGCAUGCAUCAGAGAGUCCACACCGGAGAGAAACCCUUUAAAUGUGAAGAGUGUGGGAAGGCCUUCAGGCACACUUCUAGCCUCUGCAUGCAUCAGAGAGUUCACACAGGAGAGAAGCCCUAUAAAUGUUAUGAGUGUGGGAAGGCCUUCAGCCAGAGCUCGAGCCUCUGCAUCCAUCAGAGAGUACACACUGGGGAGAAGCCCUAUAGAUGUUGUGGGUGUGGGAAGGCCUUCAGCCAGAGCUCGAGUCUCUGCAUCCACCAGAGAGUGCACACUGGGGAGAAACCUUUUAAAUGUGAUGAGUGUGGGAAGGCCUUCAGUCAGAGCACCAGCCUCUGCAUCCACCAGAGAGUGCACACAAAGGAGAGAAACCAUCUCAAGAUAUCAGUUAUAUAGAGCGUUUUGCUAAGAGUUAAAAAUCUUGAAACCCAUAAGUGCCACUAGGAAGGAAACCCUGUAAAUACCUACAUUGACCCAAGAAAUUUUUGCAGCAAGCCCCAGCAGGACAUUCUUUUUGAAGAGGCAUAUGUGAGGUUGGGUUUUUUUUUAUUCAUGCCACGUGUGUUCCACAAUUUGACUUUAAAUCUGGAAUCCCUCUCAGUGUCUGCCCAAGAUGGGCUGUGAGUCCCAGUCAUGGGUGUAUGUUUCCUGGGAUUUGGGCAUGAUGCCUCAGUAGUGGGAAAUGACACAGGAAACUAUCAUUGCCUAGCCUCCUGAGUCACCAUCUGUCUACACUUUACCUAAAAGUUACCCCAGACAUCGCCCCCUUCAGGAACUCAUGCCCUUCCUUCUCUCGAUUCAGGCAUACUGGCUAAUGCAUUUGAAAUGCAAAGCUCCCACAAAGACAGUGUUCUGGUAUUUCUGAGGUUAUUCCGUGGUUCAGCUCCUACAUAUUGUCCCAUAUAUCCCAUUACUUCUGACCCCACUUUACCUGUAUGUCUUCACAGUACCCGUAAAUAUCCACCCCUUCCUAGAUGGCAUUAAAUCUCAUUUUAGAUUUUAGGUGACUCAUAAUUUCCAUUCACUUGGCCCAUCAGAGAAAUCACUGGCAGACAUACAUGCCCUUGAACUUUUCUUGAACUUUGUUUUAAACAUGUUGUGGAUUCUACUAAUCACUGUGUCUCUAUGUUAGACUUAAUUUUCUAGUGGCUACAUC